GCUCCAAUAGCGUAUAUUAAAGUUGUUGCAGUUAAAAAGCUCGUAGUUGGAUUUCUGGGAGAGUGCCGAUGUCGGCCGCGCGCUUGUGCAGAGGCGCUCUUCCAUCCUUCUGUUAACGUCUCUUGGCAUUCAUUUGCUGGUUUCGGGCUCAGAUAUUUUACCUUGAGAAAAUUAGAGUGUUUCAGGCACUUGCGCCGAUA
rnacentral:rRNA from 1 species